GCUCAGACGGUGAAGAAUCCGCCUGCAGUGCAGGAGACCCGAGUUUGAUCCCUGAGUUGGGAAGAUCCCUGGAGUAGGAAAUAGCAACCCACUCCAGUAUUAUUGCCUGGAGAAUUCCAUGGACAGAGGAGCCUGGCAGGCUGUAGUCCAUGGGGUCGUGGUGUCGGGCACUACUAAGCAACUGACACUUUGAUUUUAGCUAUUUUAGUAUGCCUUCCUCAUAGGAUGAUGUAUCAGGCAUAGUUCUAAUAUUAAUAAAUGCUUUACAAGUAGCAUCUUGUUUUAUCUUUAUGACAAUCCUAUGAAGAAGUUACACUAAAGUUAUUGUUGCCUUAAAGCUGAGAAGACUGAGGCACAGAGAAAUUAAAUACUUUAAUUGCUAACUGACUUUAAGUAACUUACUCAAAAUCAUUGACCCUCAGUGUUCCCAGUUAUAAAGUAGGAUUAGGGAGGAGGUGAUUACUGUCAUCUGUACAUGGCGAUGUCACCAUGGAAGCAUUCUUUGUUUCUCCUGCAGGAGUCCCCUGAGUUCCCUGGGCCCCACUCACAUCUCCUGGGGCCAGCUUGAUUUGGCUUCUGCCACAGUUUUACAGGCUACACAGGUUUCUUAUCAUUUUAUUCAGAGCAAGCUUUUACCCUAGAGGUUUGGUCUGAAUCCAAACCCAUACUCCAAUGACUCCGGGAAUUCUGAUGACUUUUUCCAAGCUGUAUCCCAAGGAACAGUUGUCAGUUGAAGACACUCAUCAUCAAUUACAGGAAGAACUGUCAGUUAAAGACCCUAAUGGAAGAACCAUGGACUGGAAAGAAUCAUCAGUUAUAGGUCCCAAGAGGAAAAGAAGUACAUUUCAUCUCCUAGAAGAAAUCCAUUACCCCAGCAACUCGGACAGUGAGAAGCCAUCAUUACCCUGAACUCUCACUUUUCUCCAGUGGACAUUCCUUCAGAACAACCCCUCCCAAUGUCUUCCCUUUUUUCCCUAUACAAUAACCUUCUCUGUUUGUUGGCCUUGCCUAUGGCUUUUGCUAUAACUUCCUUGUUCUCUGCUCUUCCUGAAUAAAUCUAUUCUUGCUGGUAAAAAUAAC
rnacentral:lncRNA from 1 species